GAUCAACGACCUAAACAUAAGAGCUAAAACUAUUAAAACUCUUAGAAGAAAACAGAGGAAAAGCUUCAUAACACUAGAUUUGCAAUGAUAUCUUAGGCAUGACACCAAAAGUACAGGCAAAAAAAGACAAAAAUAAAGUGGACUUCAUUAAAAUGAAAAACUUUGAACAUCAAAGGACACUAUAGACAGAAAAAAAAGGCAAACCA